rnacentral:rRNA from 1 species
AAAUUGAAGAGUUUGAUCAUGGCUCAGAUUGAACGCUGGCGGCAGGCCUAACACAUGCAAGUCGAACGGUAACAGGAAGCAGCUUGCUGCUUUGCUGACGAGUGGCGGACGGGUGAGUAAUGUCUGGGAAACUGCCUGAUGGAGGGGGAUAACUACUGGAAACGGUGGCUAAUACCGCAUAACGUCGCAAGACCAAAGAGGGGGACCUUCGGGCCUCUUGCCAUCAGAUGUGCCCAGAUGGGAUUAGCUUGUUGGUGAGGUAACGGCUCACCAAGGCGACGAUCCCUAGCUGGUCUGAGAGGAUGACCAGCCACACUGGAACUGAGACACGGUCCAGACUCCUACGGGAGGCAGCAGUGGGGAAUAUUGCACAAUGGGCGCAAGCCUGAUGCAGCCAUGCCGCGUGUAUGAAGAAGGCCUUCGGGUUGUAAAGUACUUUCAGCGGGGAGGAAGGUGUUGUGGUUAAUAACCACAGCAAUUGACGUUACCCGCAGAAGAAGCACCGGCUAACUCCGUGCCAGCAGCCGCGGUAAUACGGAGGGUGCAAGCGUUAAUCGGAAUUACUGGGCGUAAAGCGCACGCAGGCGGUCUGUCAAGUCGGAUGUGAAAUCCCCGGGCUCAACCUGGGAACUGCAUUCGAAACUGGCAGGCUUGAGUCUUGUAGAGGGGGGUAGAAUUCCAGGUGUAGCGGUGAAAUGCGUAGAGAUCUGGAGGAAUACCGGUGGCGAAGGCGGCCCCCUGGACAAAGACUGACGCUCAGGUGCGAAAGCGUGGGGAGCAAACAGGAUUAGAUACCCUGGUAGUCCACGCCGUAAACGAUGUCUACUUGGAGGUUGUGCCCUUGAGGCGUGGCUUCCGGAGCUAACGCGUUAAGUAGACCGCCUGGGGAGUACGGCCGCAAGGUUAAAACUCAAAUGAAUUGACGGGGGCCCGCACAAGCGGUGGAGCAUGUGGUUUAAUUCGAUGCAACGCGAAGAACCUUACCUGGUCUUGACAUCCACGGAAGUUUUCAGAGAUGAGAAUGUGCCUUCGGGAACCGUGAGACAGGUGCUGCAUGGCUGUCGUCAGCUCGUGUUGUGAAAUGUUGGGUUAAGUCCCGCAACGAGCGCAACCCUUAUCCUUUGUUGCCAGCGAUUAGGUCGGGAACUCAAAGGAGACUGCCAGUGAUAAACUGGAGGAAGGUGGGGAUGACGUCAAGUCAUCAUGGCCCUUACGACCAGGGCUACACACGUGCUACAAUGGCGCAUACAAAGAGAAGCGACCUCGCGAGAGCAAGCGGACCUCAUAAAGUGCGUCGUAGUCCGGAUUGGAGUCUGCAACUCGACUCCAUGAAGUCGGAAUCGCUAGUAAUCGUGGAUCAGAAUGCCACGGUGAAUACGUUCCCGGGCCUUGUACACACCGCCCGUCACACCAUGGGAGUGGGUUGCAAAAGAAGUAGGUAGCUUAACCUUCGGGAGGGCGCUUACCACUUUGUGAUUCAUGACUGGGGUGAAGUCGUAACAAGGUAACCGUAGGGGAACCUGCGGUUGGAUCACCUCCUUACCUUAAAGAAG